rnacentral:rRNA from 1 species
CCUACGGGAGGCAGCAGUAGGGAAUCUUGCUCAAUGGGGGAAACCCUGACGCAGCAACGCCGCGUGGGUGAUGAAGGUUUUCGGAUUGUAAACUUCUUUUGUUAGAGAAGAUCAUGACGGUAUCUAACGAAUAAUCACCUGCUAACUUCGUGCCAGCAGCCGCGGUAUUACGGAGGGUGCAAGCGUUCCUCGGAAUCACUGGGCGUAACGAUCGCGUAGGCGGGAUAGCAAGUCAGAUGUGAAAGCCUAUGGCUUAACCAGAGAAGUGCAUUUGAAACUGGUAUUCUAGAGUAUGGAAGAGGUAGGUGGAAUUCUAGGUGUAGGGGUAAAAUCCGUAGAGAUAAAGAGGAAUACUCGUUGCGAAGGCGACCUGCUAGAACGUAACUGACGCUGAUGCGCGAAAGCGUGGGGAGCAAACAGGAUUAGAUACCCGGGUAGUC